AGUGAACGCUGGCGGCAUGCUUUACACAUGCAAGUCGAACGGGGUGGAGGGGCAACUCUCCAUUCAGUGGCGAACGGGUGAGUAAUGCAUCGGAACGUGCCCCGUAGUGGGGGAUAACGCCGCGAAAGCGGCGCUAAUACCGCAUAUGCUCUACGGAGGAAAGUGGGGGAUCCGCAAGGACCUCACGCUAUGGGAGCGGCCGAUGUCCGAUUAGCUUGUUGGUGGGGUAAUGGCCUACCAAGGCGACGAUCGGUAGCUGGUCUGAGAGGAUGAUCAGCCACACUGGGACUGAGACACGGCCCAGACUCCUCCGGGAGGCAGCAGUGGGGAAUUUUGGACAAUGGGGGCAACCCUGAUCCAGCCAUGCCGCGUGCGGGAAGAAGGCCUUCGGGUUGUAAACCGCUUUUAGCCGAGAAGAAAAGGGCACGGAUAACACCCGUGUCUCUUGACGGUACCGGCGGAAUAAGCACCGGCUAACUACGUGCCAGCCGCCGCCGUAA
rnacentral:rRNA from 1 species